UCCCACCCUUGUGUAUUAUUACUUUGUUGCUUUGGCGAGCUGCCUUCGGGCCUUGUAUGCUCGCCAGAGAAUACCAAAACUCUUUUUAUUAAUGUCGUCUGAGUACUAUAUAAUAGUUAAAACUUUCAACAACGGAUCUCUUGGUUCUGGCAUCGAUGAAGAACGCAGCGAAAUGCGAUAAGUAAUGUGAAUUGCAGAAUUCAGUGAAUCAUCGAAUCUUUGAACGCACAUUGCGCCCCUUGGUAUUCCGGGGGGCAUGCCUGUUCGAGCGUCAUUUCAACCCUCAAGCUUAGCUUGGUAUUGAGUCUAUGUCAGUAAUGGCAGGCUCUAAAAUCAGUGGCGGCGCCGCUGGGUCCUGAACGUAGUAAUAUCUCUCGUUACAGGUUCUCGGUGUGCUUCUGCCAAAACCCAAAUUUUUCUAUGGUUGACCUC
rnacentral:rRNA from 1 species